GAUUGUAAUGACGUUGUUUGAUAUUAGGACUAACGUUAACGUUAGUGCAACCAGAGACAUUUGUCAUUUUGUGCAACAGUUUGUGCAAAGUUAACGUUAUUGUUAGCUGUGAUGCUCAUAUGAGUCUGUAGCCUAUCUGAUUUAAAAUGGGAUAGCAAUUUCGGCAGAAUAUGUUAUGCGUCAACUUUUAUCGGCUGGAUUCUAGCAUCUAACGUUACAAUUGCCUCUGUUGGGUUUGCUUGAUCAACCAUCGUUUCGGGGACUCUGAUGACAGUGAAGAGCCAGAAAAUGGUGACUUUGCAUCUCUGAGGUACCUUCCAACUCGCCUGGUAUAUCAGUUGAAGCCUCAAGCCCAAGCCAAUUGCACUGGCAAACUCCACCAUCUUGCCGAGUGCCAGGCAGCCGAGUCACUACCCCUCAACCUGGAGAAAACUGUUAAGGUAAAGACUGAUCUCUGAAAUAAUAUUGAAUACAGUGGCCCCAUCUAUAUUAACACAGCAGUAAUCACU